CGGACGAUAUUAUUGCUGCGAUACUUUUUACUGUUUUGAAACACAAAUAUUUGUGUUCAGCGAAGUCUCCCGAGUACAAUAGUACCCCUCAUGUACAGGGUUUAUGGUGUUUUCAAAAGUUACAGCGUCAAAUAUAAGGCUUGCGUUUCAUUUUUUUCACAUAAAAAUUCGCCAGAUUGGUUACGUUGCCUUUGAGACCCUAUGGUAGCCCAAGAAUGAAAAUUACCGCUAUGAUGGCAUACCAUUUGCA
rnacentral:lncRNA from 1 species